CUACUACUCCAUCCGUCCGAAAAUACUUGUCAUUGAAAUGGAUGUAUCUAGAUGUAUUUUAGUUCUAGACACAUCCAUUUUGAUGACAAGUAAUUCCGGACGGAGGGAGUAUUAU
rnacentral:pre_miRNA from 1 species